rnacentral:rRNA from 1 species
UACGGGGGGGGCAAGCGUUGUUCGGAAUUACUGGGCGUAAAGGGCUCGUAGGCGGCCAACUAAGUCAGACGUGAAAUCCCUCGGCUUAACCGGGGAACUGCGUCUGAUACUGGAUGGCUUGAAUCCGGGAGAGGGAUGCGGAAUUCCAGGUGUAGCGGUGAAAUGCGUAGAUAUCUGGAGGAACACCGGUGGCGAAGGCGGCAUCCUGGACCGGCAUUGACGCUGAGGAGCGAAAGCCAGGGAAGCAAACGGG